CCCAAGGCUGGAAUUCACUUCACCUCUGGGUGCCCUAGAUCCCACCUGCCACAUGGGGCUAAAGCUGACCCUGCCUCCUAGGCUGAAUCCAUUCAUGGCUGUGUGGUGAUGGGGGAAAUGGAGAUACCAAG